GGAACAAAUGGGUCAAAACUGAUCUACUGCUGGGUUUCGGUUUGUUUUUUUUGGCAUGAAAUUUAGCUAUAUAUGUAUCGUAAGGGUAACACUUCUUCACGCUCAACUGUUCUGCUAAAAUAUUUGAUUGUAUAAACUCGAGUUAUUUAAGUUUUGACGUUGCCGCAACCUCGACGAGUCAAAAUACUAGUUAGAAUGAAUUAGAUACUAAACGUUCUGCUUCAUGAUUUUUUUUGUUAUUUCUUUUGUGGAUUCAGAUUGAAAAGGUCUGCUUUGAUUUGUAGCAGUAUGAAAUUAGUUAACAAAUGUGGUAUUUCCUUUUGUUUUGUGUGGGACCCACAAGAAUUUGAACUGCGAAUAUCACUGAUCUGCGGUGAUUUGAACUUGUAGCAACAUGGAUUUCGAUACCAGAAGUUGAGCACAGAGCAAAGCUAGAUUCAACACCAUUUGCAUCAUGAGUUAGACUAUCAGCUACUAUGGUUACUAUGAUUGAAAAGUUUGAACUUAGUUAUCAAGGAGCUCAUUAAAGAAAAGGAUGAAGAAAAAGAAAAAGAAAAAGAAAGGCUAAAUGGAAUUAUUGCAGGGUGGUUGGUUGGUUGGCUGAAAAAAAAAAGAUAAGGUGGAUAAAGAUGCUAUACUCGAUACGAUGUCACAAAUUGAAGCUGUGUUAACAAGUACAGUUUGAAGAUAGGCUACAAACACUUGGUUUUGAAUGUUUCGAUGUUUAUCGUAUUAGGAUUAUUUAGUUAUUUCAUGUUUUAGCUU
rnacentral:lncRNA from 1 species